rnacentral:lncRNA from 1 species
CUCCGGCAGCAGGGACAGCCCCCUCGCAGCAGCGAUUCCGGAACUGAGGACUUUCCACGUUGUUUUUUGCCUGUUUUCGCUUUGUUACUUUUCCGUUCCAGGGGAGAAGAAAAAAACCCCAAACCAGGCACCAGUGAGUAAAUCGCCCUCCGCAGGCCGUCUGCUAGCUGAGAUCCCUCUGUGGGAGCCGUGGGAACAGAUGCACGUUCUCCCCCAAGCCUGGAAGGGCGGGGGAGCACUCAACUUUCUGGAGCAGAGCAAGGCCUGCGCUGAUAUGCUAGGGAAACUGCAGCUGGGGCUGGCACGGAAGACUCCUGAACUGGCUGAAAGAAAUGUCCCGAGCCAGUGCAGGGGGCGCCCUGAUGCAGCAAGAAGAUACCACGUUGCUGGAAAGAAAGCGGAGACAAGGCAAGACCUGGGAGCAGCAGAGAUGAUUGCAAUUCUCAGAAGCGGUGGCACAGAGGUGAAUACAUUGCAAGGCUGA